rnacentral:rRNA from 1 species
AUUGAACGCUGGCGGCGUGCCUAACACAUGCAAGUCGAGCGGCAGCGCGGGGCAACCUGGCGGCGAGCGGCGGACGGGUGAGUAACGCUUGAGAAUCUGCCUAUUAGUGGGGGACAACCCGGGGAAACUCGGGCUAAUACCGCAUACGCACUACGGUGGAAAGCCGGGGACCGCCAGGCCUGGCGCUAAUAGAUGAGCUCAAGUCGGAUUAGCUAGGUGGUAGGGUAACGGCCUACCAAGGCGACAAUCCGUAGCUGGUCUGAGAGGACGACCAGCCACACCGGAACUGAGACACGGUCCGGACUCCUACGGGAGGCAGCAGUGGGGAAUAUUGGACAAUGGGCGAAAGCCUGAUCCAGCGACGCCGCGUGGGUGAAGAAGGCCUGCGGGUUGUAAAGCCCUUUCGGUGGGGAAGAAAUGCUUCGAGCUAAUACCUCGGGGCUUUGACGUAACCCACAGAAGAAGCACCGGCUAACUCUGUGCCAGCAGCCGCCGCCGUAA